GAUGAAUAGAUGGGUGAAAGUUCUCACAUGGGAAUAGGCAGUUAUUUCUUUUGUGCUGGAGAGUCCCCCAUGUGUCGAGCGAGAGAGGAGAAGAUAUUCCAAAGUAGAUAUGAGUGUGUAAAGUUUAAACUGUGUUCUUUUUGCUGUUCUUCCUUGUAUCUAGCAGAUGCCAAUGAGACGUGGAGGAGUUGCCGUGUUGGGUAAUUAUGCUUGAGAACACAAGUCAGAUUCUGUGGACUUUGAUGAAGAAUUUGAUGUACCAACAAAGGAAGAUAAUGAGCAGACCAUAGAUGAAGCUAUAAUAACUAAAGAAGAAAGGCAAGAAGAAUUGGAAGCUUUGCAAAAUGAAGUGGAUCUUCCUCUUGAGGAGCUUCUUAAAAGAUAUAGUGGAGAGAAAGGUGCAUGGUCAACCAUUAUCAUCUUCUUACUUUUAAUCAUGCAUUUGACAAGCCAGGUUGGUUUCUGAUUAGUGGGUAAAUAAGUUUGGGACUGAUUUGUUUUUGCAGAUUUCUGGGCAGGUAAUUUAUAUUAUUAUUAUUUAUAACAAAAAAUAACUUUACUUCACAGAAAAAAAAUGGUAAAAAUCUAGUAAAAAGGCACAAACAAGAAUUUGGUAUUAUUCUUCCAGAAACAAAGGAAGAAACUAUUGCAUUCAUAUAUUGAGUAUAGUUCAUAGUUUCUACAUUUAAUCUUAUUCAAAACACUUACAUAACUGUACAACAUCUAUAUAAUUGUUAUCUUGGUUUGCCUCAAAGAAUUGAUUAUGUGGUCAUUCCAGCCAUAUCAUUGGCCAUGGCACAGGUUGGGGUUGUGGCUAUGGCUGUGGUAGUAUUAAUUGUCAAGGAUAUGGUUUCACAUUGAACACUUGCAUUAAUAACACAACUCUGCAAAUAAGUAAAAAAAUAUUCAGCUUUAAUAAAAAUAACUAUUAAAUUUGUAUGAACACAACUCUACCCUUGUCUUAAUGUCAACUCUACCAUUUUCUCCUUCACUCUUUGUUUUUUUCCUUUUAUCAUUUCUUGAUUUUUUGUUGGGAUUUGCCAUAUACUUUGAUUCUUAUUUCAUUGGGUUUAUCCUCAAGGUAUAGUUCACUGAAGCCUCGUUAGUAAAACUUUAGACCAAUUGGUCAUUGUCUAUCUUUUGGUAUGUACUUUAAUCACAUCUUUCUUUUGAAAUAUAUAUGUAUUCUAUAUGUUUAUAAUUUUAUCAUUUAGGCACAAGUUAUUUAUUUCUUAACCAAAACCAAGCCACACUACACAUUAUAUUUACACUCAAUUCGACAACUGAUUCCAAAUCCCACCAUGUUUUCAUCCACCUUGUGCAGUUGCAGUAGCUGCAGGGGAAAGUACGGGUUCUUUCUUUCUUCUUCCCUCUUUGUUUCUUCUUAACCCUAAUUAUUAUACCUGAUUUUGAAUAGUUUUGUACAUUUUCACAUUGGACUUUGUUCCAUGGUUCUGCUUUGAAGUUGAUAUCUUUUUGUUUUUAGUCAUUUUCGAGUUUGGUUUAUGUGAAGGUUUGCUAAAUGCAGCUACACUGUGGUUUUUGUUUGACAAUCUAUUGCUAUGUUGUCUUAUGUGGUUUGUUAUUAAAUAAUCUCGCACUUUGAUUUGUUGAGAUGUAGCCUAGCAACAUUUUCAAUUUUAAAAACUAAUUUUUACUAUAAGUAAUUGCAUGUUGUGAGUUAGAUUUGCUUAUAGGAGAUGUUCUUAUAGUGUUUGGUAUUGAUAAAUUAAUUUCCUUGAUAUUGAUUAAAUGUUUGUUGGUUAUGUGAACGAAGAAGAAAAUGUUUCAUAGGAAAUUUGAGCACCCAAGGCAUGGGUCCUUCUUCCAAGAAAACGAGCAGCUCAUCACCGUGGAAAAGUUACAAGGCUGGAAUGACCCACAUUGUCAGGGAGGUUGAGAAGCCAGGAUCCUAAGUGAUGCAAACAAAUGUACUGGGGCAACCUAGCUUUCUAAAGCAUGGACGAUCUAAUACGAAACCUGGUUCUAAUGGAGCCGACAAAGUUCAUGAAAUUUCCUUCAAAGAAGCUAAUCAGGGUCAUCAAAAUAUACUGGCUAUUUUUAGAAAUGAAGGAUUUGACCAUGGUUCAAGCAACAAAGAAUAUUUUCAGAGGUGAAGAAUUACCGGUUGUAAUUCCAUACUUGUAAAGUUUUCAAACUUGAUUAGAAAUGUACGAAUAUUACAAAGUGUAGUGUAUAUAUAUUAAAGUGUCGACCAUUUGUUUC